rnacentral:rRNA from 1 species
AUUGAACGCUGGCGGCAGGCCUAACACAUGCAAGUCGAGCGGAUGAAGGGAGCUUGCUCCUGGAUUCAGCGGCGGACGGGUGAGUAAUGCCUAGGAAUCUGCCUGGUAGUGGGGGAUAACGUCCGGGAACGGGCGCUAAUACCGCAUACGUCCUGAGGGAGAAAGUGGGGGAUCUUCGGACCUCACGCUAUCAGAUGAGCCUAGGUCGGAUUAGCUAGUUGGUGGGGUAAAGGCCUACCAAGGCGACGAUCCGUAACUGGUCUGAGAGGAUGAUCAGUCACACUGGAACUGAGACACGGUCCAGACUCCUACGGGAGGCAGCAGUGGGGAAUAUUGGACAAUGGGCGAAAGCCUGAUCCAGCCACGCCGCGUGUGUGAAGAAGGUCUUCGGAUUGUAAAGCACUUUAAGUUGGGAGGAAGGGCAGUAAGUUAAUACCUUGCUGUUUUGACGUUACCAACAGAAUAAGCACCGGCUAACUUCGUG